rnacentral:rRNA from 1 species
AUAAAAUCAAAAAAUAGUAAUUCAAAGGGGUUAUUAAGGAAAACUAGCAAAUUUAUAAAAAAGGAGGUUACAACCAAAAGCUUUCAUACAAGCAAUCCUUGUAUUCUACUUUUCUACUCUCCAGAUAGUCUAAUACACAGAUAGCUUAUAAAAAUUGAAAAAAUAGCGAUCCUAAGGGAAACCUUUAAUAAAAAUACUUCCUGAAGUAAAACAUUUCACUAAGGAAAGGAAAGGAAAUCAACCGAGACUCCGAGAGUAAUGGCGAGUGAAAUCGGAUUAGCCUAUAAACUCUUAUAAUUGAAUCACUUAUGAAACUUUUUUUUUAUUAAGCCAGUAAGUAAGCAUUUAGCAAUGUUCCAUAGAAGGUUACAAACAAAAGUCCUGUAAAUUCAUAAGAGUAUUAUAACUAGAAACAUUCAAAUAGACAGCUAUACACAACACGGAAGUUAGUUUUCUACAUAGAAAAGCUCUAACACUAAGUGAAACGUAUAUAGUAAAAAUUGUUCUUUUUAAUGUUUUCUAAACAGUACGACGAGAGAAAACUUGUCGGAAAAUAGGGGGACCAUCCUCUAAGGCUAAGUAUUAUAAAUUUAGCGAUAGUGAGCAGUACUGUAAAGGAAAUAAGUUGAAACAGCGGGUAGAAGACCAAAAUGUACAAAAUAUUUUUUUUAAUAGUUAAAAUUUUUAAAUUUUUUCGUCUGAUCUUAAGUAUUUAUGCUUAAGUUUAUCAUACUAUAAUUAACUCUCUCUAAUUUUUGUAUUUAAUUUUAAUUUUUGAACCUUUGUGUGAACUCUGAGUUUAACACUUAAAACUAGUAAAAACUAAGAAUCUCUCUAAAACUUCUUUUUUAUUAGUAAGGAGGAAAUUCUAAUUUUAGAUGAGUCUUUAUUUGACACUAAUAAGAAAUUUAUUGUAAUACUAUGAUCGGGGUUGUCUUAAACGAGAACCAUAUGAUCGCGAUGAAAUAGCACAAGAAUUAGUAACUCUAUAAGCAGUCGAAAUUCAAAGUUUAAAGAAUGACGGCGUACCUUUUGCAUAAUGGGUCAGUCCAGCCUAUGAUCUAACAGUGUUUCAUUGUUAAGUAGGAUACUGAAGAGAGAAUGCUGACAUGAGUAACGUAAAAAGAAGUUAUAAAACUUCUCGCCGAAUACGAAAGGGUUACAUUGAAAGGUUAAUCUGCAGUGUGUUAAUGCGGCCUCUAAGGACCAGAACCAAAGUUCUGGCUGAUGAGUAUUAAAUUAGAACACCCUUUUUAACUCUAAUAAAGGGUCAAGAAAAUAAUAAUUUAUAAUGAAUACAGAAAUAUCUGUAAAAAUUAGAAUAUAUAAAAUCUCAGGGUAAAAGCUGAUAAAUAAAAUUUUAAUGAUCAUUUUUAAACUACCGUACCCUAAACCGACACAGGUUCGUAGGUAGAGAAUACUAAGGCGUAGAGCUAAAAGUUGUUAAGGAACUCGGCAAACUCCCCUCAAACGCUAGGCUACAUGAGGUACCAAUGCAAAUCUUUAGUUAGUAUUUGUAGUUUGUUUAUUAAAUAGAACUAAUAAAUAAAAAAUUGGUGGCACAGAAUCGGAGGCCCCGACUGUUUACUAAAAACAUAACACAGUGCAAUCAUUAAUGUGGAAGUAUACUGUGUGAAAUUUGCUCGAUGCCAUUAAUAUAAGUGAGGUCAAUUAAAAAAUGACUAAAUGAAAGUCUGGUUAAUAGCGGUCUUAACUAUGAGGAUCCUAAGGUAGCAAAAUCAUUUGGCCAUUAAAUGUGGUCCGGUAUCAAUAAUCUAACGAUGGUCUCGCUGUCUCUACAACUUGCUCAGUGAAAUUGAAUUACGCGUGCAGAUGCGCGUUGCCUCCAGGGGGACGGGAAGACCCUAUGCAGCUUUACUGUAGUUAGUUAUCAUCUUGUAUCUAGAACAAUUGUUAAUAAUAGAGAAUAGGGAGUACUAAAAGUUUAAGCUGAUGUAUAAAUAAAAGAGAGUAACUAAAAAAUACUCACUCUUAAAUAUACAAUUUAAAGCUCAUAAACUAGAGAUAAUUAAUUUUUUUUAUUUAUCCUUGUACAACAGUGGAAUACCUUCCGUUACAAUUGGGUCAAGGUUUACCUCUUAAUAAUUAAAAAAUAAAGGGACAGAUGACUAAUUGGCAGUUUGACUGGGGCGGUCGUCUUUAAUAUAGUAGCAAAGUACAUCCAAAUUUUUUAUUUAAAAAAAUGUAAAUAGUUUUUUUUUCUUUUCUAAUUUUUUAGUUUAGAAACUUUAGACUAUUACUCCAAAUACAACCUUUAUUAAUUUCGGAGUUUUGUUUGGUUUUUUAUUAGUUUUCUUCUAAUUUCAAAUAAAACAAUAUAUACUCUAUUUUAAUUUUAAUUUUUAUUUUAUUUCUAAAUUUAAUUUAAAUUUUUAUUUUAAUUUUUAAUAAGGUUGAUUUAUCAUAAGGUAUAGCUAGGAAUUGAAUGGAGAUCAAUCAACCAGUGAAGGGUUGCGCAUAGUUUAAUGGCGGAAAGCAUGCCUAACUGAAAGACCUAAAAGUCGCACAGAUACGUAAGUAGGGCAUAGUGACCCCUCGCUAUAAUAUGGAAUAGACUAGCCACAAACAUAUUAGAUAAAUGCUGAACGAAUCUAAAGCAAGAAUCUAACCCCUAGAUACUAAAAAGAGAAUUUAACAACAAAUUAAAAUCUCAAAUUAAGAAAUAGAACAUUUCUGAAUAGGCUGCAAAUGUACAUGAUGAGAAUCAUAAAAUUAAAAUUUUUUAAUCAAAUUUUAAUAGUUUAGCGGUACUAAUUUAUAAAAUAAACUUAAUGUUAUAGGUUGUCAAUAUUUUUAUGCUUUUUAAUUUAAGCAAAAUCGGGGAACUGUUUGUUUUUUACAUAAACACUGGAGUCUACCCCUUUUUUAUUUAUUUUAGUGUUUAAUAGACACUUUUUUAGUCUAGAGAUAAGCUUAGACUGCUGUUAAUAAUAAUUUAACCACCUCUAUAUGAAGAUACUUUAUGUUUCCCCACAUAAACUAAAACUCAAAUUUCACUAGCUUUAAGAGUGAAAGGUACAAAUUUAAAAUUCACAACAAAUAGAAAUAAAGCUCAAUUCCAAAUAAUACCGUUAAAUCUCUCUCAUUUCCAAAUAAUACAGCUAAAUACAGCACAAUUCCAAAAAUGAGUCUCCAGAUUAAAAAUUAGCACAGCUUAGCACUCAAUAGCUCACUUUUAUUAAAUCGAUUUUAACUAAAUUCAAAUUUAUAGUUUCAAAAUUAGGAUAAGAAACAUAAUUAUAACACUCUACUAACACUACAAACAGCUAACUUUAUAAUAAAAGAAAGUAGUAAUAAAAGUAAGAAUAAAAGUAAUAAUAACAGUAAGCUUAAUAGUACAAAUAAUAGUACAAAUAAAAGUAAUAAUAACUGUAAUAAUAAAAGUAAUAAUAAAAGUAAUAAUAAAAGUAAGUAACAGUAAAAAUAAAAAAAAUAGAACUCUAAAAGUUUACAUUUGGAAAAAAAAGUAUAAAUAUUAAUAUAAAUAUAUACUAACAUUCUCUACAUCUACAUCUACAACU